rnacentral:rRNA from 1 species
CAUGAUUUACAUUUGAGUGAGUGGCGAACUGGUGAGUAACACGUGGGAAACCUGCCCAGAAGCGGGGGAUAACACCUGGAAACAGAUGCUAAUACCGCAUAACAACUUGGACCGCAUGGUCCGAGUUUGAAAGAUGGCUUCGGCUAUCACUUUUGGAUGGUCCCGCGGCGUAUUAGCUAGAUGGUGGGGUAACGGCUCACCAUGGCAAUGAUACGUAGCCGACCUGAGAGGGUAAUCGGCCACAUUGGGACUGAGACACGGCCCAAACUCCUACGGGAGGCAGCAGUAGGGAAUCUUCCACAAUGGACGAAAGUCUGAUGGAGCAACGCCGCGUGAGUGAAGAAGGGUUUCGGCUCGUAAAACUCUGUUGUUAAAGAAGAACAUAUCUGAGAGUAACUGUUCAGGUAUUGACGGUAUUUAACCAGAAAGCCACGGCUAACUACGUGCCAGCAGCCGCGGUAAUACGUAGGUGGCAAGCGUUGUCCGGAUUUAUUGGGCGUAAAGCGAGCGCAGGCGGUUUUUUAAGUCUGAUGUGAAAGCCUUCGGCUCAACCGAAGAAGUGCAUCGGAAACUGGGAAACUUGAGUGCAGAAGAGGACAGUGGAACUCCAUGUGUAGCGGUGAAAUGCGUAGAUAUAUGGAAGAACACCAGUGGCGAAGGCGGCUGUCUGGUCUGUAACUGACGCUGAGGCUCGAAAGUAUGGGUAGCAAACGGGAUUAGAUACCCGGGUAGUCCAUACCGUAAACGAUGAAUGCUAAGUGUUGGAGGGUUUCCGCCCUUCAGUGCUGCAGCUAACGCAUUAAGCAUUCCGCCUGGGGAGUACGGCCGCAAGGCUGAAACUCAAAGGAAUUGACGGGGGCCCGCACAAGCGGUGGAGCAUGUGGUUUAAUUCGAAGCUACGCGAAGAACCUUACCAGGUCUUGACAUACUAUGCAAAUCUAAGAGAUUAGACGUUCCCUUCGGGGACAUGGAUACAGGUGGUGCAUGGUUGUCGUCAGCUCGUGUCGUGAGAUGUUGGGUUAAGUCCCGCAACGAGCGCAACCCUUAUUAUCAGUUGCCAGCAUUAAGUUGGGCACUCUGGUGAGACUGCCGGUGACAAACCGGAGGAAGGUGGGGAUGACGUCAAAUCAUCAUGCCCCUUAUGACCUGGGCUACACACGUGCUACAAUGGAUGGUACAACGAGUUGCGAACUCGCGAGAGUAAGCUAAUCUCUUAAAGCCAUUCUCAGUUCGGAUUGUAGGCUGCAACUCGCCUACAUGAAGUCGGAAUCGCUAGUAAUCGCGGAUCAGCAUGCCGCGGUGAAUACGUUCCCGGGCCUUGUACACACCGCCCGUCACACCAUGAGAGUUUGUAACACCCAAA